CACGGGGGUGGCAAGCGUUGUCCGGAAUUACUAGGCGUAAAGGGCAGGUAGGCGGAUUUAUAAGUCGGACGUUUAAGCCUCAGUCUCAAGCUGAGAAGUGCGUUCGAUACUGUAAAUCUUGAAUACGGUGGGGGAAGACGGAAUUCCAGGUGUAGCGGUGGAAUGCGCAGAUAUCUGGAGGAACACCGAAGGCGAAGGCAGUCUUCUAUACCGAAAUUGACGCUAAACUGCGAAGGUGUGGGGAUCAAACAGG
rnacentral:rRNA from 1 species